GUUAGUGGGCCUGUAGUCCCAGCUCCUUAGGAGGCUGAGGUGGGCGGAUUGCUUGAACCCAGGAGUUCUGAGCUGCAAUGCACUGUGUCGAUUGGAUGUCUGUAUUACUUUUGGCACCAAUUUGGUGACCUUCUGGGAGCAGGGGACUUCCAGGUUACCUCAGGAGGGGUGAACCGGCCCAGGUCAGAAAUGGAGUAGGUAAAAACUCCCGUGCUGAUUAGUAGUGGGGUAGUGCGUGUGAAUAGCCACUAUACUCCAGCCUGGGAAACAUAGCAAGACCCUGUCUCGU
ensembl:misc_RNA Metazoa_SRP Metazoan signal recognition particle RNA